rnacentral:tRNA from 1 species
UAAGGAGUAGUAUAGGGGGAGUACAGAGGGUUUUGAUCUCUCAGGUGCAGGUUCAAUUCCUGCCUCUUUAA